rnacentral:rRNA from 1 species
UACGUAGGGUGCAAGCGUUGUCCGGAAUUAUUGGGCGUAAAGAGCUCGUAGGCGGUCUGUCGCGUCUGCUGUGAAAACUCGAGGCUCAACCUCGAGACGCCGAUGGAAACCAUCUGGCUAGAGUCCGGAAGAGGAGAGUGGAAUCCUGGUGUAGCGGUGAAAUGCGCAGAUAUCGGGAAGAACACCCGUGGCGAAGGCGGCUCUCUCGGGACGGUACUGGACGCUGAGACGCGAAAGCGUGGGGAGCGAACGAG